rnacentral:tRNA from 1 species
GGGGGUGUUGCUCAGUAAUAAAGCAUGUGAUUAGCACACACAAGGCCCUGGAUUCAAUCUCCAGCACCCCCU